GAAGGAUUAUAAUCUUCCUCCUCAACAUGUUAACAGUGCCCUCUGGUGUUUGAAGGCAAAACAAUAGGCUUAUGAAUACAGGGUAUGAGCACAUCCAUCAAUUCAGUAGACAUCAAACUGCCUCUGGAUGUGGGUCCCAAGCCAGAUACCACGAGGGGAAGAAAGGUUAAUAAGACGGAUGGUCCCUGCCGUUAAGGGGUUUCCAAUCUAGUGGGAGAGACAAAUCCACAACCAUAGGAACAGAUGGAGAAAUGACACGAGCCCUAAUAAGGGUAUAAGCAGAGCCCAGUGAGAGUGCCUAGGGAUGAAAAAGAGGCCCUUAGGUGAGGUUCAACAGGCUGAGGGUAGAGGUUAGGACUCUUUAGACUGCAAACCCUAUGCUCAGGGCCCAGUAUUCCAGCGUAGCCAGGGCAGAGUGCUUGCAGGUGGGGUGUCCUGGGAGAUGCAGCUGUGUGGGACCAUAUUUGUGGAAGGCUUUGGAUGCCAAUCUCAGCAGGGGCCAUCCUAAGUAAAGAGCUAGCAGAUGUUCUCUGGUAAUUAGCAGAAGGAAAAAGGGUGGAUGUGUCAGCAAAGCAAAGGACAUAGGAAACCUUAUGGAGAGAGAGGACUUUUGCAGCAGUCCUACAUGGCACAGAGGUUUGAGCUGAGCACUGGCAAUGGGAUGGAGUGGAAGGCAAACAUUUGCCAAACAGUAAAAUUGACAAGAAAGAGAGUGGAGAAGCAUAAAAGGAAGCAGAAGGAGAUUCUGAGGUUUCUGGCCCUAGUUUACGGCUCCUAUAAAGUAAGGAUUAGAGGAAGAAUAGCAGAUGCUUUGGGUAAUUUUUAUUUAAGAUCUAUUUCUACCCUCCCCAAGUGAACUAUCUGUUCUAGGUCCUAAGUUAUAAAACAGUAAUUAAUUCUAAUAGACAUGUCAUUUGUGAAAACAGGUAUUUUAAAUAUGCAAGAUGAGCCUGGGGCAUCUUAUAGUGCCAAAAAGUAAAGACAUGUUCAAAAAAUGAAACAAAACACACAAUAAUAGGGGUAUGUGAAAAGAACACAAGAGCUCCCAAUGCCAAAAACCAGAAGAAUUUGAGCAACAAAAUAAAGUAGUAUUGGAUUAUAACCCAAAGUAUACUAUACAUAUCCAUGAGUCCAUACUGAUAUAAAUAAAUGAUUGAAAAAAUAAGUAAGUGGGAGAGAAUAGGUUAAUUUCCCACACAGAAUUCCAAAUAAUUUAAGUAGAUACUCUGUCCUCAAGGAGGGAGGGGGCAUAAAUCCCUACUCAUUAAUUGUGGGAUACACAGAGUAACCUCCUUCUAAAAGGUACAGUAUGGAAAGGGGGGAAAGGAGUAACUUUACAGUGGAAAAACCUGACAGACACUACCUUGGCCAGAUGAUCAAGAUCAACAUCAACAGAGAUGUCAUGCUGAUAGUAUGUAACUUCAAUAUGAUACAAUGAAAAUGGCACUUUAUCUAUGUGGUCUUCCUCCCCGAAACCCAUAACCCUAGUCUAAUCAUGAGAAAAACAUCAGAAAAAUCCCAAUUGAAUGGCACUCUACAAAAUACCUGACCAGUACUCCUCAAAACUGUCAAGGUCAUCAAAAACAAGGAAAAUCUGACAAACUGUUACAGCCAAGAGGAACCUAAGGAGACAUGACGACUCAAUGCAAUGUGGUAUCCUGGAUGCGAUCCUAGAAUAAAAAAAAGACAUGAGGUAAAAACUAAGGAAGUCUGAAUAAAGUAUGGUCUUUAGUUAAUAAUAAUGUAUCCAUAUUGGUUCAUUAAUUGUGACAAAUGUACCAUAUUAAUGUAAGAUGUUACUAAUGGAGGAAACUGGGUUUGGAUAUAUGGGGACUCCCUGUAUGACCUUCACAAUUUUUCUGUAAAUCUAAAACUAUACUAAAUUAAAAGUUUACUUAAGAAAAAAGCCCAGUUAUUUAGUGGAGAAUGACUGAUUACGCCCAGAUGAAGAAUA
ensembl:lncRNA